GUUGCUGGUGAAGGGAGGGCGAGGUAACAGUGCGAGCGAGAGCCUGAGUGAGUGCAAGGGAAGCCUUAUCACGGAGGCACGGCUGAAGACAACAUUUGCAAAAUGCCGAAUAAAACUAAAAAAGAGAAGGAACCAACCAAAUCUGCAAAAAGCAGCACGAAAAACAGUAAUGCCGGUGGCGGAAAGGAUGCUGGGACUGAAAAUUCAGAAGAGGCCCAGCAGACAGCCAGCAAGCGUCCGAGCAACAGCACUCCACCUCCCACUCAGCUCAACAAAAUUAAGUACUCCGGUGGGCCUCAGAUUGUAAAGAAGGAGCGUCGACAGAGUUCGUCACGAUUCAACCUCAGCAAGAACCGGGAACUGCAGAAGCUUCCCGCCCUCAAAGAUGCCCCACCCAUGGAUCGAGAAGAACUGUUUGUCCAGAAGCUGCGGCAGUGCUGUGUGCUUUUCGACUUUGUGACUGAUCCACUAAGUGACCUCAAGUACAAAGAGGUGAAGCGAGCUGGCCUCAAUGAAAUGGUGGAGUACAUCACACACAACCGCGACGUGGUCACAGAGGCCAUCUACCCUGAAGCUGUCAUCAUGUUUUCUAUAAACUUGUUCAGGACUCUGCCGCCCUCUUCUAACCCCACGGGAGCAGAGUUUGACCCAGAGGAGGACGAACCCACUCUAGAGGCAGCUUGGCCUCACCUGCAGCUGGUGUAUGAAUUCUUCUUAAGAUUCCUGGAGUCACCUGACUUCCAGCCAAACAUUGCCAAAAAAUACAUCGACCAAAAGUUUGUAAUGUCGCUUCUGGAGCUUUUCGACAGUGAAGACCCCCGAGAGCGGGACUUCCUGAAAACCAUCCUGCAUCGCAUCUACGGAAAGUUCCUCGGGCUGAGAGCCUACGUUCGCCGGCAGAUCAACAAUAUAUUCUACAGGUUUAUAUACGAGACGGAGCAUCACAAUGGGAUUGCGGAGCUCUUAGAAAUCUUAGGAAGCAUAAUUAAUGGCUUUGCCCUGCCACUGAAAGAGGAGCACAAAAUGUUCCUCAUCAGAGUGCUACUGCCUUUACACAAAGUCAAGUCUCUCAGCGUCUAUCACCCACAGCUGGCCUACUGUGUGGUGCAGUUUUUGGAAAAGGACAGCAGCCUCACUGAACCUGUGAUUAUGGGCCUGCUAAAGUUCUGGCCCAAGACCCACAGUCCUAAGGAGGUGAUGUUUCUGAAUGAGCUGGAGGAAAUCUUGGAUGUCAUUGAGCCCUCAGAAUUUGUUAAAGUCAUGGAGCCUCUCUUUAGACAGCUGGCCAAGUGUGUAUCAAGUCCGCACUUCCAGGUUGCUGAAAGAGCAUUGUAUUACUGGAACAAUGAGUACAUUAUGAGCCUGAUCAGUGACAAUGCCGCCAAGAUCCUCCCCAUCAUGUUUCCCGCUCUCUACAAGAACUCCAAGAGCCACUGGAACAAGACAAUCCAUGGGCUUAUCUACAAUGCUCUGAAGCUGUUUAUGGAGAUGAACCAGAAGCUGUUUGAUGACUGCACUCAGCAGUACAAGGCUGAGAAGCAGAAAGAGAAGUACAAACUAAAGGAGCGGGAAGAAAUGUGGCAUAAAAUUGAGGCGCUAGCAAAACAGAACCCUCAGAGUACAAAGAUUCAGCUGCGGCCCGGUCUGGCUCAAGAGGAAUAUAUGAUGUAUAAUGAAGGAGGGAUGCCCCUGUACUCAAUGGAGACAGAGACCCCAACAGUCGAGGACAUCCAGCUGCUGAAGAAGACUGUGGAAUCAGAAGCCACACCGGGGUUGAAAGAAAUCAAGAAAGAUAAGGUUUUGAUGAGGCGAAAGUCUGAGCUGCCGCAGGACGUGUAUACUAUAAAAGCCCUGGAAGCUCACAAGCGAGCGGAGGAGUACCUGACGGCCAACCAGGAAGCCCUCUGACCGGGGAGCACCGCCACCCUCCACCGCGCCUAAACUGUCCCUCUCGUCUUGGUCCAAAAUUGUCGCCUGCUGUAACCCACCUCUCUAUUCCUCUGCCUCUAUCCAUACUCUCUUCCUCCCUCACUGUUUGGAGAGCCCCGUCUGCAAAAAUCCAGUCCGCAGAGCAUUGGAGAGCUCCCAUGAACUCUGUCCCACCCCCUAUGUGCGCACAAACGCUUUCCAAAGUCUUCACAAAUCCAUAGCUGCUGAUCCUCACAUCCAACAGAAGCUGUUAGAAAGCAGUGUGGGUUACAAAUAAUCAAAGUAUGCUCUUGUUGUGGUUUGUUUUUCUCUCCACACUCCACUUUAUUUUGCCCACUUUAUGCUGUCUCCAUUUGUCCGCAUGUUCCCUAUCCCGUUUUUACCACUGCUUGAGAGCUUCUCCUGUACUCCAAUCACUGCCUCUGUAAAUCUGUUUGCAAUGAAGGGGCCACACUUAACUCAAUGAAUCAUGUUACUCAAGAUAAAUGAAGACCUCAGUGGAGACGGUGACCCUCAGCGUAGGGUCUGUAGCCAAACAUGAACGAUCAGGGCUAUUCUUGACGUCAAAAAACUACAUGGAGAAACUUGUUCCUUCCUAAGAAGCUUUAAGAAUUAGACACGCAAAUUGGAGAUUUGCCAAUCAAUUUUAGGUGCUUCCCUAGAUAUAUACCUGAAAUGGUUUCUCCAUAGUGGCCUGGUGCUGUAAAUGCUUUAGGUAGUCAUCUGAAGAAGUCAUUUUUGAGGUCACGGCCACAUAUGAAGAGGCAGAGGCUGAAGAGUUCGACCUAAACUGUUUGCUGUUUUCCCACUGAUUGUUAAUGAUCGUCAAAAACAAGAACAAAAGGGAGAUUUGUGUAAGCAAUCAUCUCUAUAUACACCACCAGCAGAGCGCUUGCUGAAAAUGCUGUAAAAGUAGUAGCGGAAAAGACAAGAAUGUGCUCUAAACGCAUGCACCAGUGGUCUAUCGGUCCACUCUGCACUUACGUUUGUCUUUUCGUUUUAAGACGGAUACCUCUUUAACAUAUACCCAUCAAAUCGAAACUUCCUUUUUUCACCGCCUAGCUUCAGUACGGUGUCUUGUUUUUGCUUCAUAGGUUUCUGUGAUGUAUGAAAACUAGACAAAAACGAAAAACAGACUCCCGUCGAGCCUUUAAAAAAAUUAACCGUUCAAGAUCGGGAACUACUGUCCUGUCCGAAAUCGUACAUCUUAUUUAUUUUAUUUUUUUUUUAACUUUAAAGCGCCUAAGCAAUAUUUUUUUCAGGAAUUAGAACAGAAUGGAGACCAUGCACUGGUCUAGUGUACGAUCAAGCGCUAUACAAUCCUCCUGAUAGGACUAUAUACUUGCAGAGAAAAGAUACUCGCUUUCCUGUCCAGGCUUAAUAUAUGGAAAACCGACAGCCAUCGCUAAUACUUGUGUACUGUAUAUUGUCAUGUAUAUUGCUUAUGAUUGCGCCCUUGCCCGCCCUUCAGUAUUCCCUUUCUGCCCCAAGUUCAUCUUUUCUUUCAUUCUGUUUGAACGACUCCAUUCUGAUGCAUGAUGUCCCCCUCUCUGUUGUAAAGGUCUGUCCCGUGAAGUGUCACUUUGAUCAUUCCAAUAGUGAGGGAACAUUUACUCCUCCUACAGGCUGCUGGACAAUGCAAAACGUCAUCGCAGCUCAAAGGUCUCGCUGUAAUGAUGUCCACUUGCUGUGCAUUCAAGCUGCUACACUUCUUCCAUCGCUCCAAACAUGCACAUACGUUUCAACUCGUGCUAUUACAGCUUAUUAGUGUGCAGUGCAGAGGUGAAGUCUUGAAAUCAUUAGCUGUUUGAAGUGUUGUAACGUCACCUCGGCCUAUCAGCGUACGGGAAUGACUUGUCCGUGCAAUCAAGAGCAUGAAUUGCCAACCUUGUUGCCUCUAAAUAAUAGACCAAAACAUUCCAGAAACAAUCAGAGGCAACGUCACUCUUGAACGCAGCAUGCUUCCUUUCUCAAUGCAGCUUGACAGGCGGAUGGGGCCGGUGUUCAGCUUGUCCGGCAGCAACAAGAAACAGAGGGAAAUUAAGAAAGUAUGGGUCUCUCCACACUCACCCGUCCCUUUCCCUCCUCUCCCAGUCCUCCUUCCCAAGUCUGACACUAAUCUUAAGCUGCUUUCCAGGUCAUAUGUACAUAUGUUGUACUUUAAUUAGGUUGAGCAUUACAUAGUAUGAAAGUCAUAUUUUGUACAGAUGUUCAUGUAUGUACAGAACAAAAAUAAAGAAACACAAAAGGUGUGACGGCCAUUUGUGUUGCUCGAGCCAUGUGAGAUAUAUAUAAAGGAUCAGUCACUCAUUGCACAGGUAUCAACAGUCAGAUCAAUGGAGAUGUGAGUAUUACUGAGAUGCACCUUCACAUGUCUAUACUGUCAUACAAAAGCAACCACUAAGUUUAGCAAAAUUCUUCACUUUACAAAAGAA